rnacentral:rRNA from 1 species
CACGGAGUUAGCCGGUGCUUAUUCUGCAGGUACCGUCAUCACUCCACACGUGAAGCUUAUUCUUCCCUGUCAAAAGCAGUUUACGACUCAGAAAGCCUUCUUCCUGCACGCGGCAUGGCUGGGUCAGACUCUCGUCCAUUGCCCAAUAUUCCCUACUGCUGCCUCCCGUAGGAGUCGGGCCCGUAUCUCAGUGCCCGUGUGGGGGACCAGCCUCUCAGCUCCCCUAGUCAUCGUCGCCUUGGUAAGCCGUUACCUUACCAACUAGCUAAUGACCCGCAACCCCAUCUAUAACCAAUAAAUCUUUACUAUCCAGGUGAUGCCACCCAAGCAGCUUAUGCGGUAUUAAUCCGCCUUUCGGCGGGCUAUCCCCCAGUUAUAGGUAGGUUAGUUACGUGUUACGCACCCGUGCGCCACUAUGACAUUGCUGCCACCGUUCGACUUGCAUGUAUUAGGCCUGCCGCUAGCGUUCAUCCUGAGCCAGGAUCAAACUCU